UACCCGCGGCAAGACGGAAAGACCCCGUGAACCUUUACUAUAGCUUGACACUGAACAUUGAGCCUUGAUGUGUAGGAUAGGUGGGAGGCUUUGAAGUGUGGACGCCAGUCUGCAUGGAGCCGACCUU
rnacentral:rRNA from 1 species